AGGCCGAAAGGCGUAGUCGAUGGGAAACAGGUUAAUAUUCCUGUACUUGGUGUUACUGCGAAGGGGGGACGGAGAAGGCUAUGUUAGCCGGGCGACGGUUGUCCCGGUUUAAGCAUGUAGGCUGAUUAUCCAGGCAAAUCCGGAUAAUCAAGGCUGAGGUGUGAUGACGAGGCACUACGGUGCUGAAGUAACAAAUGCCCUGCUUCCAGGAAAAGCCUCUAAGCAUCAGGUAACAUCAAAUCGUACCCCAAA
rnacentral:rRNA from 2 species